UGGCUCAGUGGCUGAGCGUCUGACUUCAGCUCAGGUCAUGAUCUCACAGUUUGUGGGUUCAAGUCCCAU
rnacentral:tRNA from 1 species